CGCCUCUUGUUUAUAUAAGAGGUCUAGCCUGCCCAGUGAUAAUUUCAACGGCCGCGGUACCCUAACCGUGCAAAGGUAGCAUAAUCACUUGUUCUUUAAAUAAGGACUUGUAUAAACGGCAUCACGAGGGUUACACUGUCUCCUCCCUCCAAUCAGUGAAACUGAUCUCCCCAUGAAAAAGUGGGGAUAAACUUAUAAGACGAGAAGACCCCAUGGAGCUUUAAACCCAAUAGCAACUUAGCUCAACAUAUCCCACUAGCUACAAAACCAUGCUAAAGGCUUUAGGUUGGGAGGACCACGGAGUAAAAACUAACCUCCACCACGAAAAGAUAAAAAAUCUUUACCCAAGAACUACUACUCUAAGGAUUAGAAGACUGACGUAAAAUGAUCCGAUAUCGAUCAACGAACCAAGUUACCCUGGGGAUAACAGCGCAAUCUACUUCAAGAGUUCAUAUCGACAAGUAGGCUUACGACCUCGAUGUUGGAUCAGGGUAUCCCAGUGGUGCAGCCGCUACUAAAGGUUCGUUUGUUCAACGAUUAAAACCCU
rnacentral:rRNA from 1 species